rnacentral:rRNA from 1 species
GCCAAAUAGCUAGCCUGAGCACAAUUAUAACACUAAAAUAUAAAUAACCAAAAUAGCUUAAAACAGUAAAACAUUUUACCCCCUAAGUAUAGGCGAUAGAAAAGGCCCUCAUGAGCAAUAGAAAAAGUACCGCAAGGGAAAGCUGAAAAAGAAGUGAAACAACCCAACAAAGCAAGAAAAAGCAGAGACUAACACUCGUACCUUUUGCAUCAUGAUUUAGCAAGAAAGCCCAAGCGAAGAGAACUUAAGUUUGACCCCCCGAAACCAGGGGAGCUACUCCGGAGCAGCCCAAAGGGGCAAACCCGUCUCUGUGGCAAAAGAGUGGAAAGACUCCCGAGUAGAGGUGAUAAGCCUACCGAACCUGGUGAUAGCUGGUUGCUCAGGAAAUGAAUAUAAGUUCAGCACUAUGUAAUGCUAAUUUUACACAUAAAGAAAUCAAGAAAUGCAUAGCAGUUAGUCAAAAGAGGUACAGCUCUUUUGAAGCAGGACACAACCUUUAUGACAAGGCGGGAAAGGACAAAUAAACCACAAGGCACUCCCCCCAGUGGGCCUAAAAGCAGCCACCUGUGAAGACAGCGUUAAAGCCCAAGCAAAACCUAACCAAGAAUACCUGUAAACCAUACCGCACCCCCUCCAUAGUACUGAGCCCCCCUAUAUAAAUAGAGAAGACAAUGCUAGAAUUAGUAGUAAGAGGGGUACGCCCCUCUCCCAGCACAAUCGUGAGUCAAACAGGACCAACCGCUGACAACUAACGGACCCAAAAGAGGGCACAACAGCUAAACGUAACACAUCAAGAAAACCCUGUCCCCCUCCCCCGUCAACCCGACACAGGAGUGCGCCUAGGAAAGACCUAAAGGGGGAGAAGGAACUCGGCAAACCUAAACCCCGCCUGUUUACCAAAAACAUCGCCUCUUGCUAACAACGAAGUAUUAGAGGUCCCGCCUGCCCUGUGACAGCAGUGUUUAACGGCCGCGGUAUUUUAACCGCGCGAAGGUAGCGUAAUCACUUGUCUUUUAAAUGGAGACCUGUAUGAAUGGCAUAACGAGGGUUUAACUGUCUCCUCCCCCCAGUCAAUGAAAUUGAUCUGCCCGUGCAGAAGCGGGCAUGCCAACAUAAGACGAGAAGACCCUAUGGAGCUUUAGGCAAAUGAUCAAGCACAACAAACCCCGUUUUUAACCAAGCCCCGGGGGAAACAAAAGCCGAUGAUCAAGAUGCCUUCGGUUGGGGCGACCUUGGAGAAAAAAUAAGCCUCCAAGUGGAAUGGGAAAACCCUUAAACUAAGAGAAACAGCUCGAAGUACCAGAAAUUCUGACCAAACAUGACCCAGGUUUCACCUGAUCAACGAACUGAGUUACCCUAGGGAUAACAGCGCAAUCCUCUCCCAGAGUCCAUAUCGACGAGGGGGUUUACGACCUCGAUGUUGGAUCAGGACAUCCUAAUGGUGCAGCCGCUAUUAAGGGCUCGUUUGUUCAACGAUUAACAGUCCUACGUGAUCUGAGUUCAGACCGGAGCAAUCCAGGUCGGUUUCUAUCUAUGUCCUAGCCUGCCCCUAGUACGAAAGGACCGGAGUAGGGGGGCCCACGAGGAAGUAAGCCCCACCCCUAUCCGCUGAAAGUAUAUAAAGCGACUAAUGGGGAAGAUAUACCUGACGCCGAAGAUAACGGCAC